rnacentral:rRNA from 1 species
UACAGAGGAGGCAAGCGUUGCUCGGAAUCAUUGGGCUUAAAGAGCGUGUAGGCGGCUUGGUAAGUGUCGCGUGAAAUCCCAUGGCUCAACCAUGGAACUGCGCGGCAAACUGCCUGGCUUGAGGUCGGUAGAGGUGCCUGGAACUCUAGGUGGAGCGGUGAAAUGCGUAGAUAUCUAGAGGAACGCCGGAGGCGAAAGCGGGGCACUGGACCGAUUCUGACGCUGAGACGCGAAAGCGUGGGGAGCAAACAGG